AUUGAACGCUGGCGGCAGGCCUAACACAUGCAAGUCGAGCGCGCGGCGGACGGGUGAGUAAUGUCUGGGAAACUGCCUGUUGGAGGGGGAUAACUACUGGAAACGGUAUCUAAUACCGCAUACCAUCAGAUGUGCCCAGAUGGGAUUAGCUGGUAGCUGGGGUAACGGCUCACCUAGGCGACGAUCCCUAGCUGGUCUGAGAGGAUGACCAGACACACUGGAACUGAGACACGGUCCAGACUCCUACGGGAGGCAGCAGUGGGGAAUAUUGCACAAUGGGCGCAAGCCUGAUACAGCCAUGCCGCGUGUGUGAAGAAGGCCUUCGGGUUGUAAAGCACUUUCAGUGGGGAGGCGUUACCCGCAGAAGAAGCACCGGCUAACUCCGUGCCAGCAGCCGCGGUAAUUC
rnacentral:rRNA from 1 species